AACGAACGCUGGCGGCAUGCCUAACACAUGCAAGUCGAACGAGACCUUCGGGUCUAGUGGCGCACGGGUGCGUAACGCGUGGGAACCUGCCUUUAGGUUCGGAAUAACUCAGAGAAAUUUGAGCUAAUACCGGAUGAUGUCUUCGGACCAAAGAUUUAUCGCCUUUAGAUGGGCCCGCGUUGGAUUAGCUAGUUGGCGGGGUAAAGGCCUACCAAGGCGACGAUCCAUAGCUGGUCUGAGAGGAUGAUCAGCCACACUGGGACUGAGACACGGCCCAGACUCCUACGGGAGGCAGCAGUGGGGAAUAUUGGACAAUGGGCGAAAGCCUGAUCCAGCAAUGCCGCGUGAGUGAUGAAGGCCUUAGGGUUGUAAAGCUCUUUUACCCGAGAUGAUAAUGACAGUAUCGGGAGAAUAAGCGCCGGCUAACUCCGUG
rnacentral:rRNA from 1 species